AUUGAACGCUGGCGGCAGGCCUAACACAUGCAAGUCGAGCGGGGUUUUCGGACCUAGCGGCGGACGGGUGAGUAACGCGUAGGAAGCUGCCCGAUAGAGGGGGAUACCAGUUGGAAACGACUGUUAAUACCGCAUAAUGUCUACGGACCAAAGUGUGGGACCUUCGGGCCACAUGCUAUCGGAUGCGCCUACGUGGGAUUAGCGAGUUGGUGAGGUAAUGGCUCACCAAGGCGACGAUCUCUAGCUGGUUUGAGAGGAUGAUCAGCCACACUGGAACUGAGACACGGUCCAGACUCCUACGGGAGGCAGCAGUGGGGAAUAUUGGACAAUGGGCGCAAGCCUGAUCCAGCCAUGCCACGUGUGUGAAGAAGGCCUUCGGGUUGUAAAGCACUUUCAGCGAGGAGGAAGGGGUGUGUGUUAAUAGUACACACCUUUGACGUUACUCGCAGAAGAAGCACCGGCUAACUCUGUGCCAGCCGCCGCCGUAACAC
rnacentral:rRNA from 1 species